ACUUUAAGCGCUUUCCUCUUUCAUUUCGGCCUCCCAUGACAAUCACAGUGUCUCUGACAACUGCAGCCACACAUCCUCUCCUCUUAUACUUCAUGUCUGGUAACAUACAACUCUUCUGGGUCUUGAUGUUGUAUAAUAAAACUUUGUUUAAUGGUUGAAUGUUACUGUCAACACCACCCGCUAUGAUCACACUGUCAUCACCCCACUUGACUGUGGCCAUUACAGACACAGGGUAGGGGAGGGCUGCUAACUCCUUACAUUCAUUCGUAGUAAUAUCAUACAACAAAACACUUGCAAGAUUUGUACUGGAAGAACCAUUGACAUUGCCUCCAAGAAUCAGUAUCUUGUCACCAAACAUUGCAACACCAUGAAGAUAUCUUGCCUGUGGCAUGGUAGCCAACAGUUUACUGGUAUAAGGUGGGACAAGGGAAAUAUCAGUAAUACUAUCAGAAUAUGCAUGUUUACUAGCAUCAUAACCUCCAAUCACUAUCAACCGUCCA
rnacentral:lncRNA from 1 species